GACGAACGCUGGCGGCGUGCUUAACACAUGCAAGUCGAACGGUAAGGCCCUUCGGGGUACACGAGUGGCGAACGGGUGAGUAACACGUGGGUGAUCUGCCCUGCACUUCGGGAUAAGCCUGGGAAACUGGGUCUAAUACCGGAUAGGACCCUGGGAUGCAUGUCCUGGGGUGGAAAGCUUUUGCGGUGUGGGAUGGGCCCGCGGCCUAUCAACUUGUUGGUGGGGUGAUGGCCUACCAAGGCGACGACGGGUAGCCGGCCUGAGAGGGUGACCGGCCACACUGGGACUGAGAUACGGCCCAGACUCCUACGGGAGGCAGCAGUGGGGAAUAUUGCUCAAUGGGCGCAAGCCUGAUGCAGCGACGCCGCGUGAGGUAUGACGGCCUUCGGGUUGUAAACCUCUUUCAGCACCGACGAAGCGCAAGUGACGGUAGGUGCAGAAGAAGGACCGGCCAACUACGUGCCAGCAGCCGCCGUAA
rnacentral:rRNA from 1 species